rnacentral:lncRNA from 1 species
GGCCAUGGUGCUAACUAGUUUUUAUUCCAUCAUUCACAUCUGAUCCUCUCUGGAUGGCCCAAAUGGGGAGUCUAUCAAGAACUCGACCUUUCAGGAGAGACAAGAUGAGUAAAUAAUGUACGAAAGGGCUUGCCACAGAGGAGGAGCCAAACACCUGUUGACCAAAACACACCCGGCACAUAGAGGAGCUCCUGAGAACUGCCGGCUGAAAGACCACACCAAGGACUGUCCCAGCACCCACAGGCACUGUGCCUACACUAAGCAGGCACAAUCAGAACUGAGCUGGCCUUGGCCCUGGGACUUGAGGUCAGGAGGGGAUGAGAAGAGACCCAGACAGUUCCUCCCAGGAGGCCGGGAUCUGGAGGAAGCCCUGC